AACGAAAUGCACACGUCAGAGUGACGAAGACUGAGGAGGAGGAAGAGGAGGAAGGGGAGGGUCAUGAUCGCAGACACUUCCUCAGUGAUGGACGCUCUGACCACAGGAGGGCGCCGCCAUCUUACCUUUCCUGUCCUUCAGAUACUCAGGGUCUACGAGGAUCACGCCGUCUGUCAUGACAAGAAGACAAGAGGCGCGUCAACUCAAGACCCCGCCCACACUUCAGAUGUCAAAUAAAGUGGACCCGCGUCAACCCGGGUCAGACAGGGUUUGGACCGCCGCAGCUCGACUUGACAGCCGUCACAAAAACCACAAACCAAAACGAGGAAACGCGACCACUUCCUGGUCGCGGCGGCACACAAACAGGAAGUAACUGAGUGCAGUUUUUGUCCUCUUGACAUUUAAAGCAGUUCAGAGAAAAACACGAGGCGAGGCGUUCAGGGUAAACAAGUCAGCGAGAGUGGCGGCGGCGUGGAGACACACAGCCUUUUUACGCUUGGCUGCUCGCUUCUAAAACACUCCAGUCACGAUGGAUGAAAAACCUGCGGGGACCAAAGUGUGGUCCUCCUGUGAGCAGAGUCUGCGUCAUGUCACGUUCAAGUCUGGACACGAAACACACAGAUCUUUAACUUCAUUAAAAGACGUUCAUUAGAGAGAGAGAGAGAGAGAGAGUUGUUUAUCUCUGAAUUAACCCUUUCAUCUUUCAUUCAUUCACUCGCUUGCUUGCUUUUCAGGUGAUUUGAUUUGCUGCAGUUUGAGGAGUUUUCAGUUCAAAUGUAUUUAUUUUCGUUAUUCUUUCAAAAUAAAGUAUGUUUUUA